rnacentral:rRNA from 1 species
UACGUAGGUGGCAAGCGUUGUCCGGAAUUACUGGGUGUAAAGCGCGUGUAGGCGGGAGGCCAAGUCUGCUGUGAAAUCGCCCGGCUCAACUGGGCGGGGUCGGUGGAAACUGGUCACCUGGAGGACGGUAGAGGCGAGUGGAAUUCCCGGUGUAGUGGUGAAAUGCGUAGAGAUCGGGAGGAACACCAGAGGCGAAAGCGGCGAACUGGAACAGCACUGACACUCAACUACGAAAGCGUGGGGAGCAAACAGG